rnacentral:rRNA from 1 species
AGUGAAAUGGAUUUAUAUUUAUCCGCCUAGAGAGAAGCUCGCGGCUGAUUAGCUUGUUGGUAAGGUAAGAGCUUACCAAGGCGACGAUCAGUAUCUGGUUUGAGAGGACGAUCAGACACACUGGAACUGAGACACGGUCCAGACUCCUACGGGAGGCAGCAGUGGGGAAUUUUCCGCAAUGGGCGAAAGCCUGACGGAGCAAUACCGCGUGAGGGAAGACUGCCUAUGGGUUGUAAACCUCUUUUUUCAGGGAGGAAUCAAUGACGUGUACCUGAA